rnacentral:tRNA from 1 species
AGCAAAGUGGCCGAGACUAGGCGAAAGAUUGUAGCUCUUUACACGGGUCACCCCCUUUGUAA